AAUAAAGCAAAAACCUUCCGACCCACACACUCUCUGCCAAAGUCUGUCCGCGAACCCAAAGCUCACACAAUCCUAUCGAGCGGCUGUUUGUACAGUACAGCUCUGCUGGGGCUGGGUUGCUUUUUUUCUGUUGUAUUUGAUCAGCGUAAUUUGACAGCAGGAAAUCCCGCCUCUCACUGGGCAGCUAUUAGUGCUUGGAUUGCUUUUAUUAGGUUGACAGGGGGUGGGAAAAUGUAAUGUCAAUGUGGCGCCCUUCACUGUGAGGACGAUAAAGUACGUUCCCGUUUAUGCAGAUAUCCCCUGUCCGUAUGAUUUGCAGAGCUUGCAGUGGUCAGUAAUGGUACCGCUUUAUUAAAUGCGCAUGAUUCAUCCUCUACUCCAUGCAGGACGGAGCAUGAAGCAUUGAGUAAACAGUGGUGCAUACCCUGGCAGAACACCUCAGAGCAUACAUCCUCCUUCAGCACUGAAACCAGGUCUUCUUGAGCCACUCAUAGGCUCUGACUUCUGCAGCCAUACCAUUCCAGGCUGCCCAUGUUAUUUGGGUUGGUCUUUUUAUUGUCAUCCAUUUGGAAAGUAAAUUCCUGUGUUUCCUGGAAAUCUUUAUGAAGGCAUCACUGAGUCAUGGUGUCACUUUAUGCCUGGUCUCUGAGAUCUCCAGGAUUGGCUGGGGCUGAUGAAUAGAGGUUGAGUGAUACACUUGCAUUGCAGAAAGUGAAGUUAUGUCCGGGUGCCUUUUUAGAUAUGGAGCCUGGAUUUUGGAGCCUGUAUUGUCCUGGUGGGUUUCAGAAUUCCCUGCCCACAAAAUGUGGAGUUCAACCCAUGCACACACAUGUAAUAAGCUGAAAAAACAUAAUUUCAAGAGAAAAUGUGGCCUGUCCUCCCCACUGAAGCAGAAAACCCUUCCACCUUUAGGACCGUGCGCCUGCCCCGGGUGUCUGUCAUCGGAGAAGGUCUUUGUAAAAAAUAUUUCCAAAGACCAACAUUGUACAUGAAACUGAAAAUAAAACCAAAAAAUAGCAUUGAA